UUUCUAUCAUGCUCAUUUGUUUCCCAUUCGCAGUCAAGUUCUCCCAAAAUCCCUAAAAACCUUUCUGAAACCAAAAUCCAAAAUCCCUAAAAGCUUCUGAAACCAAAAUCCCCAAAAGUUUGCUGAAACCAAAAUCUCCAAAAUCCCUAAAAGCUUUCUAGGGUUCUAGCAUUCAGCAAUGCCAUACAUUGAAGAGGGUGAACGACGACGAGGGUGAACGACGACAAUGAUGAGCAGCAACAAGUGACAGCUAGCAACGAACAACAGCCUUCGCAAACCCUUCCACUCUCAACUCCCUCCUCCUUCCAUCUCCUCCUCCAGAUCUCACUCUCGCUGGAGUUUCCUUCUCAGAGCUAAUUUGAAGAUGGGUAUAAUGAUGGAGAUGGAGAUGGUGGCAAUGGAAAAAAUAGAAUUGUGAUGCCAUUUGAUGGAGGAGAAGAAAAAGGUGACACAGAGGCAUGACUAUUAUUGCCUGCAUGAAUCAACUUAAUCAUUACCAUGAGGAGUACCAGAUGCAGCUGUCCUGGACCCAAGACCCCCACAAGCAGACUUUUAUAGUCUUGGAUAAAGAAUUGGUUGUUGGAGACUUCAUCCAUGGAGAUGCCCAUGUUGAAGCCAUGGUUGGUGAUGUGAAUAUAUACAUGAAUGACUUGGAUGAUUCCCAAAUGGCAGAGAUUGAAAUAAUGAUAGCUGAGCCCAAAAGGUACAUGCCUUUCAAUUUCUUCUUAUGAUAGUGCCAAUGAUGACUGGGAGUCGCAGAUUAUUUCAUUAUCACUAAUUGCUCAUCUCUUCUUAUUUUCAUUUAUAAUUAAGUCCAUAAUAUAUGUGUCCUUGUACAUCCAUAUUUUCCUUCUGACCAUUAUGUUUCUUUUGUUUUGGUUGCUAUUUUACUUUGCUCUGAAGUUGUUAAAGAUGUGGAUGCUACAAUAAUGUUUUUUUUCCCUGGUUGAUGAUUUUUUUAAAAGCAACAAAUGAAGCAUUAAACUCUCUGUCUAUAUAUAUGUUUUGUAUGUAUAUUAACAUUGAUACUAAUUAUAUUACAUGAUUUUACUUCGACAAGUGAAGCAUAGUUUAUGACGGACAUAGUUUAAGCAUAUUUGACUUGUAUGUCUUAUUCAAUACAAGAUGAGUUUAAUCGUCAACUCUUCAUGCUACUUGAGGAUUGUCGGACUUUAGAGUCUAGGAAUGCCAUUUUCCAUGAGUUGAUAGGCCAUGACGGACAUGGAUAUUGUUGCACUUACGGGAGAACUGCGCCUCAGAACGCGGUGUAUAAAGAUGGUGCUGGGCCAUCACGGUCAACACCCCAGCCAUCGACUAUUGUUGAAAUCACCAAGCAGGUUCGUGCGGAGCUAAAGGAUAAGUUGAGGGAGGAGCUGAAGGAGGAGAUGCAAGCAGAGUUCUCUAUACAUUUACAGUAGAUAAGAGCUAAGAUGAUAGCCUUUGUGUCACAGGGGGCAAGUGUGGAUCCAAACAGACAGGUUCCUAAUGCAUCGAGUGGCCAUCGGAUAUUUAGGGAAUCUGCAGGAGAUGAGACUCCAUAUACACCACCACCAGAAGAUCAGAUAUUUCCGGAGUUGAAGUUUGCUUUUUGUGGAUUUCAUGCCUGUGAAGAAUUCCACUAAUUUUUGUUUUUGUACCACAGAGAAUGAUGAGGAAAACUUUUAAUUUUGGUUUAUGUUAUUUUGAAUUAUGAACAACAUUAUGUAUUUAAACAUCAUAUUUGUAUUAUGGAACAUUAUGUA